GUGCUCGCUUCGGCAGCACAUAUACUAAAAUUGGAACAAUACAGCAAAGAUUAGCAUGGCCCCUGUGCAAGGAUGACAUGCAAAUUCAUGAAGCGUUCCAUAUUUUU
rnacentral:snRNA from 1 species